UUAACUAGUCAUGCAGUAGAUGGCAUGAUUGCCAUGCACCUGCCCCAGAUCAACAGUUCUUUUCAUUAUUACAGUGGCAUAAUUUUUAACAAUGAAUGAUCAUUUGAAAAAAUUCUUUUAGAGAAAUUAUUUUUCCACUUAGAUUCCUAGUUAAUCUUCUACUGUAGUUCAGGCAUUGAGAAAUAUUUUCCAUUUGUUUGUUCUAAUGUUUGUGGAUAGUUGGAUGACCUCCAAAUAAUAGGAACAUUUCUACAUCCUACUUGAGAAUAUAUGUGCAAGAACUUAGGAAUGAUUUCUGUUUGCUUGUAUCUGAAUAACUACUGGAUAAACAUCAGGUGUAAGAAAAUACUUGAUAAAGCUGGGUUGACUUUGGUGCUGAAUAAUCAUUGUAAAGAAUAUUAUCUUUAAAAUACAUAAUGUUCUUUUCUCCCUGUGCCUCCAGGUAUAUGACCUCCUUCUAUUCUGUUGGCAGCAUCCAUUUGCCUCAGAAACUCCAGAUCACACAGCUCUGACGAUGGGAUAAUAAUUUAAGGAAGCAGGUGGCAUGAUCGAUGAAUUAAAGCUUCCCUGGAACCAACACAAGGCAAAUGACUACAGGAACAACUUCCCAGCACAAUUCAGACCGGCUCAAAUGAACUUCUGCCCCCCAAACUCAACAGCCAAUCAAUCCUAGUAUCAGCAGAAAAAAGACCUUGAAAUCCCAGUGAACUGCAGGAAAAGAUCAACUCCUACUUCCUAGCCAAGAACAAUGCCCUCACCCUGUGAACUCACAAAGCUCUCAGACUUCUCAACUAGUUAACAACAACAACAACAAAAAUGUAAAAAGUGAACUGAAUCUGUUUAAUACAGAUUUAUUUAAUCUAAAUAAUGCAUCGGGAAAAAUUGAGAAUAAAUCCAAGCACACUCAUAAAUUUGCCAGUUUGAGAACAUAAUUAAACUUUUCUAUAAAGGAACUAAAAUACAUUUAUUAAUACCAAGAUUUUCAUGAUUGGAUCAUUAUAUUAAAUUCUAGAUUUGGAAGGGAGAUAGUCAUUUUACAAAGCAAGUUACCAUUAAAUGAAAUUUGAAAUAUCUAA